GCCGCCUGUGCUGUCCUGUUUGUUCUGGAGACGGAACCCAGCACAUCUCAACAGCCCACUGCGCAGGGCAGGUGCAUUUAUGUUUACUGUUUCUAUCAGCCAAAGAGCAAAACCAAAAUCAAACAAACGAAGACUCUGGCAAGAUUGCUUGAUCCUGCCUCGAGGAAGGAAUGGC